GACGUAGGGCGCGAGCGUUGUCCGGAUUUAUUGGGCGUAAAGAGCUCGUAGGCGGCUUGUCGCGUCGUCCGUGAAAACCUGUGGCUCAACUGCAGGCUUGCGGUCGAUACGGGCAGGCUGGAGUUCGGUAGGGGAGACUGGAAUUCCUGGUGUAGCGGUGAAAUGCGCAGAUAUCAGGAGGAACACCGAUGGCGAAGGCAGGUCUCUGGGCCACUACUGACGCUGAGAAGCGAAAGCAUGGGGAGCGAACAGG
rnacentral:rRNA from 1 species